GACAUUAGACGAAUCAUCUGGAAAGAUGAAUCAAAGAAGGUAAUAAUCCUGUAGUCGAAAAUGUUGUCUCUCUUGAGUGGAUCCUGAGUACGACGGAGCACGUGAAAUUCCGUCGGAAUCUGGGAGGACCAUCUCCUAAGGCUAAAUACUCUCUAGUGACCGAUAGUGAACCAGUACCGUGAGGGAAAGGUGAAAAGCACCCCGGAAGGGGAGUGAAAUAGAACCUGAAACCGUGUGCUUACAAGUAGUCAGAGCCCGUUAAUGGGUGAUGGCGUGCCUUUUGUAGAAUGAACCGGCGAGUUACGAUUUGAUGCAAGGUUAAGCAGUAAAUGUGGAGCCGUAGCGAAAGCGAGUCUGAAUAGGGCGUUUAGUAUUUGGUCGUAGACCCGAAACCAGGUGAUCUACCCUUGGUCAGGUUGAAGUUCAGGUAACACUGAAUGGAGGACCGAACCGACUUACGUUGAAAAGUGAGCGGAUGAACUGAGGGUAGCGGAGAAAUUCCAAUCGAACCUGGAGAUAGCUGGUUCUCUCCGAAAUAGCUUUAGGGCUAGCCUCAAGUGAUGAUUAUUGGAGGUAGAGCACUGUUUGGACGAGGGGCCCCUCUCGGGUUACCGAAUUCAGACAAACUCCGAAUGCCAAUUAAUUUAACUUGGGAGUCAGAACAUGGGUGAUAAGGUCCGUGUUCGAAAGGGAAACAGCCCAGACCACCAGCUAAGGUCCCAAAAUAUAUGUUAAGUGGAAAAGGAUGUGGCGUUGCCCAGACAACUAGGAUGUUGGCUUAGAAGCAGCCAUCAUUUAAAGAGUGCGUAAUAGCUCACUAGUCGAGUGACACUGCGCCGAAAAUGUACCGGGGCUAAACAUAUUACCGAAGCUGUGGAUUGUCCUUUGGACAAUGGUAGGAGAGCGUUCUAAGGGCGUUGAAGCAUGAUCGUAAGGACAUGUGGAGCGCUUAGAAGUGAGAAUGCCGGUGUGAGUAGCGAAAGACGGGUGAGAAUCCCGUCCACCGAUUGACUAAGGUUUCCAGAGGAAGGCUCGUCCGCUCUGGGUUAGUCGGGUCCUAAGCUGAGGCCGACAGGCGUAGGCGAUGGAUAACAGGUUGAUAUUCCUGUACCACCUAUAAUCGUUUUA
rnacentral:rRNA from 1 species